rnacentral:rRNA from 1 species
AGUGAACGCUGGCGGCAGGCCUAACACAUGCAAGUCGAACGGUAACAGAAAAAAGCUUUCUUCUUUGCGGACGAGUGGGGGGGGGGGGUGAAGUGUCUGGGGAACUCUCUGAUGUAGGGGGGUAACUAGUGGAAACGGUAACGAAAAUCCCGUAACGGCGCAAGGCGUAAAAGGGGGAGAUUUUGGGCUCUUGCGAGCGGGAGUGCCCAGAUGGAGUAAUCGCGUCGGUGGGGUAACGGCGCACCUAGGCGACGAUCCCUAGCUGGUCUGAGAGGGUGAUCAGCCACACUGGAACUGAGACACGGUCCAGACUCCUACGGGAGGCAGCAGUGGGGAAUAUUGGACAAUGGGCGCAAGCCUGAUCCAGCCAUGCCGCGUGUAUGAAGAAGGCCUUCGGGUUGUAAAGUACUUUUAUCGGGGAGGAAGGGCGUCAAGUUAAUACCCUUCCGCAUUGACGUUACCCGAAGAAGAAGCACCGGCUAACUCCGUG